rnacentral:rRNA from 1 species
GAUCAAGUGAAUAAGUGCAUGUGGUGGAUGCCUUGGCGAUUACAGGCGAUGAAGGACGUGGUAGCCUGCGAAAAGUUUCGGGGAGCUGGCAAACGAGCUUUGAUCCGAAAAUGUCCGAAUGGGGAAACCCACCCGCGAGGGUACCCAUACCUGAAUACAUAGGGUAUGAGGAGCGAACCUGCCGAACUGAAACAUCUAAGUAGGCAGAGGAAAAGAAAUCAACCGAGAUUCCCGUAGUAGUGGCGAGCGAACUGGGAAGAGCCUGCAACAGAUAGCCAUUGAUUUAGCGGAAAGGCCUGGAAAGGUCUGCCAUAGAGGGUGAGAGCCCCGUACGCGAAAAGUGAGUGGUGAGACUGAGGUUGCGAUAAGUAGGGCGGGACACGUGAAAUCCUGUUUGAAGAUGGGGGGACCAUCCUCCAAGGCUAAAUACUCGUAAUCGACCGAUAGUGAACUAGUACCGUGAGGGAAAGGCGAAAAGAACCCCGGGAGGGGAGUGAAAUAGAUCCUGAAACCACAUGCAUACAAACAGUAGGAGCCCCAGAUUUAAUGAUCUUCGGGUCUUUGGGCGAGCGAAGUGAGCCAAAAGACGAUUAGAAGAUAAAUAUUGAUCUUCAUGGAUUUUUGAUCUUUGAAGGCUGGUAAAUUUGGAUUGAUUUUGAGGGUCAUUAGAUCUGGGGUGACUGCGUACCUUUUGUAUAAUGGGUCAGCGACUUACAUUCCGUGGCGAGCUUAACCGAAUAGGGGAGGCGAAGCGAAAGCGAGUCUGAACAGGGCGUUCAGUCGCGGGGUGUAGACCCGAAACCAGAUGAGCUAUUCAUGGCCAGGUUGAAGGUAGGGUAACACCUGCUGGAGGACCGAACCCACUAGUGUUGAAAAAACUAGGGGGAUGAGCUGUGGAUAGGGGGUGAAAGGCUUAACAAAUCUGGAAAUAGCUGGUUCUCUCCGAAAACUAUUUAGGUAGUGCCUCACGUAUCACUUCUGGGGGUAGAGCACUGUUUUGGCUAGGGGGUCGUUUAGAUCUACCAACCCAAGGCAAACUCCGAAUACCGGAAAGUGCGAGCGUGGGAGACAGACAUCGGGUGCUAACGUCCGGUGUCGAAAGGGAAACAACCCAGACCCUCAGCUAAGGUCCCCAAGACAUGGUUAAGUGGAAAACGAGGUGGGAAGGCGAAGACAGUCAGGAAGUUGGCUUAGAAGCAGCCAUCCUUUAAAGAAAGCGUAAUAGCUCACUGAUCGAGUCGUUCUGCGCGGAAGAUGUAACGGGGCUCAAACCAUGCACCGAAGCUAGGGAUAUCCGAAAGGAUAUGGUAGGAGAGCGUUCUGUAGGCCGUUGAAGGUGAGGUGUGAACCUUGCUGGAGGUAUCAGAAGUGCGAAUGCUGACAUGAGUAGCGAUAAAGCGGGUGAAAGGCCCGCUCGCCGAAAGCCCAAGGUUUCCUGCGCAACGUUCAUCGACGCAGGGUGAGUCGGCCCCUAAGGCGAGGCUGAGAAGCGUAGCUGAUGGGAAAUCGGUGAAUAUUCCGAUACCUUGAUUCAAUGCGAAGGGGGGGGGGACGGAGAAGGUUAGGCUAGCCGGGUGUUGGAAGUCCCGGUUUAAGCGUGUAGGCAGAUGCUCUAGGCAAAUCCGGAGUGUCAAUGCUGAGGCGUGAUGACGAGGACCUACGGGUCUGAAGUAGUUGAUACCCUGCUUCCAAGAAAAGCCUCUAAGCGAUAGUUGAAUCGAGACCGUACCGCAAACCGACACAGGUGGGCAGGAUGAGAAUUCUAAGGCGCUUGAGAGAACUCGGGUGAAGGAACUCGGCAAAUUAGCACCGUAACUUCGGGAGAAGGUGCGCCCCAAUAAUGUGAAGGUCUUUACGACCGGAGCAAAAAGGGGUUGCAGUGAAAUGGUGGCUGCGACUGUUUAAUAAAAACACAGCACUCUGCAAACACGAAAGUGGACGUAUAGGGUGUGACGCCUGCCCGGUGCCGGAAGGUUAAGUGAUGGGGUGCAAGCUCUUGAUCGAAGCCCCGGUAAACGGCGGCCGUAACUAUAACGGUCCUAAGGUAGCGAAAUUCCUUGUCGGGUAAGUUCCGACCCGCACGAAUGGCGUAACGAUGGCCACACUGUCUCCACCCGAGACUCAGCGAAGUUGAAGUGUUUGUGAAGAUGCAAUCUACCCGCUGCUAGACGGAAAGACCCCAUGCACCUUUACUGUAGCUUUACAUUGGACUUUGAUGGGAUUUGUGUAGGAUAGGUGGGAGGCUGUGAGGGUAUGCCGCCAGGUGUACCGGAGCCAACCUUGAAAUACCACCCUGAUGUCAUUGAGGUUCUAACCUAGGUCCAUGAUCUGGAUCGGGGACCGUGUAUGGUAGGCAGUUUGACUGGGGCGGUCUCCUCCCAAAGAGUAACGGAGGAGUGCGAAGGUAUCCUAGGUACGGUCGGACAUCGUACUGAUAGUGCAAUGGCAUAAGGAUGCUUAACUGCGAGACUGACAAGUCGAGCAGAUGCGAAAGCAGGUCAUAGUGAUCCGGUGGUUCUGAAUGGAAGGGCCAUCGCUCAACGGAUAAAAGGUACGCUGGGGAUAACAGGCUGAUUCCUCCCAAGAGUUCAUAUCGACGGGGGAGUUUGGCACCUCGAUGUCGGCUCAUCACAUCCUGGGGCUGUAGCCGGUCCCAAGGGUAUGGCUGUUCGCCAUUUAAAGUGGUACGUGAGCUGGGUUUAAAACGUCGUGAGACAGUUUGGUCCCUAUCUGCAGUGGGCGUUGGAAGUUUGAGGGGGGCUGCUCCUAGUACGAGAGGACCGGAGUGGACGAACCUCUGGUGUACCGGUUAUGACGCCAGUCGUAUUGCCGGGUAGCUAUGUUCGGAAGAGAUAACCGCUGAAAGCAUCUAAGCGGGAAACUUGCCUCAAGAUAAGACUUCCCUGAGGGCUUGACCCUCCUAAAGGUUCGUUCGAGACCAGGACGUUGAUAGGUCGGGUGUGGAAGCGCAGUAAUGCGUUAAGCUAACCGAUACUAAUUGACCGUGAGGCUUGAUCCU